rnacentral:lncRNA from 1 species
GGUCCUAGUUUUUCUGAUUUUGGGAGUUCAUAAAAGGAGCAGAUUUGGAUGUGGGUUUUUGGGAUUGGCUUACCCACGAAUCUGCUCAACCAGACUUUGCCUGAAUUAAUUGACCCCAAAAAGAACACUUUCCUUUUUGGUCGUUUGGGUUCGUAAAUUGAAGGGGUCAGUUAUCAAAUGGAGCAAAGGAAAAAGGAGAGACUAAUAAUGUAUGGAAGGCAAAAAAAAAAAAAAAAUGGUAAUAAUGAUUGAUUGAGUCGAGUUGAUUUGGUUGCAAUUUUUCAAAUAGGAUCUGACUUUACUUUUUGAAAGAUUAUGACUUGAUUGCAUAUUAUGCACAACGUUUAGGACUAUUGGUGCAAAUGCCAAUCUAUAUAUCAAGUUGGGACAGCUUAUUAAGACUUCAAAGUCUGGAAUAAGAGAGUCCAAUUACUAAUUGAGAUUUACUUUUUGUAAAAUGUUAGCACUCUUUCCUUUUAGAUUUUCUCCAUGAAAUCGUAUACGUUUUAUGCACCUUCACGACCAUAUACCAAUUAUACCU